rfam:Anaerosphaera sp. HMSC064C01 Anaerosphaera_spHMPREF2800-1.0_Cont132.2, whole genome shotgun sequence.
UUUUAUCACUAGGGGAGCCAUUGGCUGAGAGAUUUAUCGACCCUUAUGACCUGAUCUGGUUAGUACCAGCGUAGGCAAGUGCGAGUAAACUCCU